GCAAGUCGAACGCGAUGUCUUCGGACAUUGAGUGGCGAACGGGUGCGUAACACGUAGGUAACUUGCCUGAAAGUGGGACAACCAUUGGAAACGAUGGCUAAUACCGCAUGAACUUGCUUCGGUAAGAAAAGGAUCCUCGGAUCCGCUUUCAGAGAGGCCUGCGGCCUAUCAGGUAGUUGGUGGGGUAAUGGCCUACCAAGCCUUUGACGGGUAGCUGACCUGAGAGGGUGGUC
rnacentral:rRNA from 1 species